CAGAACCCAGAUAAUUUAGCACUUUGAAUAGAAAGGAAGAUUUAUGUAAGUCAUGAUAUAUAUGACUUACUGAGGCUCCCAUUGGUUUUCUUGUAUUUCUCUCUAGUGCUCUGAUGUAUAGCAUAAAAAAGAUCUACCUGUUCCCCAGAGAGUUUUCAGAGAGAUGAGUCUGUUUCUAGCUACCAUAUCUGUGCCCUGCUACAGAAUACAGGUUAGGGAAAAGGAUGUGGCUUCCUUAGGAAAAGAGAACCCCUGUCACAAGACAGAUUACUUUGCAGGAGAGUUAAGAAAAAUACUGGAGAUAACAUGGACUAAUGUUUGCAUACACAGAAUAUCUGCUCAUAUUUCUACCUGUAACAGGAAGCUUGUGUUCAGAUGCCAGAUAUUUGAAAGAUUGUUUGCUUGUUUUCAUCAUA
rnacentral:lncRNA from 1 species